CGGGCGUUAAGUUGCAGGGUAUAGACCCGAAACCCGGUGAUCUAGCCAUGGGCAGGUUGAAGGUUGGGUAACACUAACUGGAGGACCGAACCGACUAAUGUUGAAAAAUUAGCGGAUGACCUGUGGCUGGGGGUGAAAGGCCAAUCAAACCGGGAGAUAGCUGGUUCUCCCCGAAAGCUAUUUAGGUAGCGCCUCGUGAAUUCAUCUCCGGGGGUAGAGCACUGUUUCGGCUAGGGGGCCAUCCCGGCUUACCAACCCGAUGCAAACUGCGAAUACCGGAGAAUGUUAUCACGGGAGACACACGGCGGGUGCUAACGUCCGUCGUGAAGAGGGAAACAACCCAGACCGCCAGCUAAGGUCCCAAAGUCAUGGUUAAGUGGGAAACGAUGUGGGAAGGCCCAGACAGCCAGGAUGUUGGCUUAGAAGCAGCCAUCAUUUAAAGAAAGCGUAAUAGCUCACUGGUCGAGUCGGCCUGCGCGGAAGAUGUAACGGGGCUAAACCAUGCACCGAAGCUGCGGCAGCGACACUGUGUGUUGUUGGGUAGGGGAGCGUUCUGUAAGCCUGUGAAGGUGUGUCGUGAGGCAUGCUGGAGGUAUCAGAAGUGCGAAUGCUGACAUAAGUAACGAUAAAGCGGGUGAAAAGCCCGCUCGCCGGAAGACCAAGGGUUCCUGUCCAACGUUAAUCGGGGCAGGGUGAGUCGACCCCUAAGGCGAGGCCGAAAGGCGUAGUCGAUGGGAAACGGGUUAAUAUUCCCGUACUUGGUGUUACUGCGAAGGGGGGACGGAGAAGGCUAUGUUGGCCGGGCGACGGUUGUCCCGGUUUAAGCGUGUAGGUGUGUGUUCCAGGUAAAUCCGGUUCACUUUAACACUGAGGCGUGACGACGAGGCACUACGGUGCUGAAGCAACAAAUGCCCUGCUUCCAGGAAAAGCCUCUAAGCAUCAGGUAACAUCAAAUCGUACCCCAAACCGACACAGGUGGUCAGGUAGAGAAUACCAAGGCGCUUGAGAGAACUCGGGUGAAGGAACUAGGCAAAAUGGUGCCGUAACUUCGGGAGAAGGCACGCUGACACGUAGGUGAAGUGAUUUACUCAUGGAGCUGAAGUCAGUCGAAGAUACCAGCUGGCUGCAACUGUUUAUUAAAAACACAGCACUGUGCAAACACGAAAGUGGACGUAUACGGUGUGACGCCUGCCCGGUGCCGGAAGGUUAAUUGAUGGGGUCAGCGCAAGCGAAGCUCCUGAUCGAAGCCCCGGUAAACGGCGGCCGUAACUAUAACGGUCCUAAGGUAGCGAAAUUCCUUGUCGGGUAAGUUCCGACCUG
rnacentral:rRNA from 1 species